rnacentral:tRNA from 1 species
GUGGGUAGAGCUCAAUAGUAGAUUGCGUGCUUAACAUGCAUGGGGUCCUGGGUUCAAUCCCCAGUGUCUCCA